AGAUGCUCAACCGACUGAGCCACCCAGGAGCCCCAUAAAAGGAACACGCUUUCGGGAGCCAAGCACGCGUCCCAUCCAGCUCCACAUUCAGUGAUGUCACCUUGGAGCCUGAAAUGACCCAUGGUGGGAACACAGAGGCCGUGAAAACCAGCCAACACUAUGAGGCGAGACUACUUCCUUGUGGAGAGCUGGUUGAUAAGAGGUUUGCCAGCACACCCCUGCCUAAGCUCCAGGGCCAUCCGCCAGGACAAAGGUGUUCGCUCUGCCACACCGCAAGGCCAGCUUCAGACCCAGCGCUCCUGCACCCAGAGACUUCCCUGGCCAUCGCGGUCACCUCUCCUACCUGCUUGGGCAGGCAUGAUGCUGGGUUUCUUGGGACAUGUGAAGGGAGGCCAGUGCCGCUCACCUGGAGGGGCUUUCAUCCACGGGCCGACUGCUCACGUAGAGAGGAGAGGGGAUACUGAGCCAGGGUGUGCUGACGAGGAAGUCCGGGGAGGGAAGGACGGCAGACAGCUUGUCUAAAAUAGUGGAUAUGAAAUGCUUAAAGCAGCCACAUCUUAACUGGGGGGUUAGUCCUUAUAUAAAACGGGGAAGGGAAAUCCUGAUUAUAAUGCACCAUUGUGAUACCUUUCUAUGGUUCUGCAAAAUGUUACUGUUGGGGAAACUGGGUGAUGGGUGUCUGGAUCUCCUUGUACGUGCUAAUGCAACUUCUUCUAUAUCUGCACUGCUUCUAAUAAGACAUUAAAUGAAAUGAAGCUGCUGACAUGUAAAGGCCUAUGUGAAGAGACCUGCGUUCUGGCUUGGCGCUGCUGUAGUACCCAAGUUGAGGCCUUCCUUUGCCCACGUCCUUCCUAUACAACCGGGAAAGAGAGGCGGCCUUCUGUGGUACGGGAAGUCAGAGCGAAUCCUGAGUGGUAAGCAGGGCAGAGGCCCUCUGCCGAUUUCCCUGUAGGCCGGAAAUGAAAACAACAUGCAUGGAGUGUAGCUGGUCUUUCUUCUCAUCUCGAGGCGACAGGCACUCAGCAUCAGCUGCCUUCAGGGGACUUCCCAGUCCCUGAGGAGAGCGAAGCCACUCUGGACACAAGCAGAGGUGAGAUUCACAGGUAAGACCCGCUGACAAAACGAAACCAAACUUCUCUGCAGCAAACACAGAAGAAACCUGAGACUGCGUUUUGGCCCUCGAGGACCCUGCAGCUGGGGAGGGACCGCCAUGCUGUAUUUUCGUAGGUUUUACAGCAAAACAAAAGUACUCAAACGCCCCAGGAGAUGGGGUGUCACUGUUCUGUUUUGUCAAGACCACACACGAUUUCCUCGGUUCGCCUCUUACCUCAC